AGCGAAUAGAUACCCGGGUAGUCCUGGCCCUAAACGAUGAAUGCUUGGUGUGGCGGGUAUCGAUCCCUGCCGUGCCGAAAGCUAACGCAUUAAGCAUUCCGCCUGGGGAGUACGGUCGCAAGGCUGAACUCAAAGGAAUUGACGGGGGCCCGCACAAGCGGUGGAGCAUGUGGUCUAAUUCGACGCAACGCGAAGAACCUUACCCAGGCUUGAACUGCAGAUGACAUCCUACGAAAGUAGGCUUCCGCAAGGACGUCUGUAGAGGUGCUGCAUGGCUGUCGUCAGCUCGUGUCGUGAGAUGUUGGGUUAAGUCCCGCAACGAGCGCAACCCUUGUCUUCUGUUGCCAUCAGGUUACGCUGGGCACUCUGAAGAGACUGCCGGUGAC
rnacentral:rRNA from 1 species